AUUGAACGCUGGCGGCAUGCCUUACACAUGCAAGUCGAACGGUAACGGGCCUUCGGGUGCCGACGAGUGGCGAACGGGUGAGUAAUACAUCGGAACGUGCCCGAUCGUGGGGGAUAACGAGGCGAAAGCUUUGCUAAUACCGCAUACGAUCUACGGAUGAAAGCAGGGGACCGCAAGGCCUUGCGCGGACGGAGCGGCCGAUGGCCGAUUAGGUAGUUGGUGGGAUAAAAGCUUACCAAGCCGACGAUCUGUAGCUGAUCUGAGAGGAUGAUCAGCCACACUGGGACUGAGACACGGCCCAGACUCCUACGGGAGGCAGCAGUGGGGAAUUUUGGGCAAUGGGCGCAAGCCUGAUCCAGCCAUGCCGCGUGCAGGAUGAAGGCCUUCGGGUUGUAAACUGCUUUUGUACGGAACGAAAAGCCUUCUUUUAAUACAGGAGGGUCAUGACGGUACCGUAAGAAUAAGCACCGGCUAACUACGUG
rnacentral:rRNA from 1 species